GGGAAAAGCUCAAAUUUAAAAUCUGGCGGCUUUGGUCGUCCGAGUUGUAUCCUAGAGAAGUGUUUUCCGCGUUGGACCGUGUAUAAGUCUCUUGGAACAGAGCGUCAUAGAGGGUGAGAAUCCCGUCUUUGACACGGACUACCAAUGCUUUGUGAUACACUCUCAAAGAGUCGAGUUGUUUGGGAAUGCAGCUCAAAAUGGGUGGUAAAUUCCAUCUAAAGCUAAAUAUUGGCGAGAGACCGAUAGCGAACAAGUACCGUGAGGGAAAGAUGAAAAGCACUUUGGAAAGAGAGUUAAACAGUACGUGAAAUUGCUGAAAGGGAAACGAUUGAAGUCAGUCGCGUUAGCUAGAACUCAACCAGGCUUGCUUGGCGUAUUUUCUAGUUAACGGGCCAGCAUCAGUUUUGACCGCAGGAAAAAGGCCAGAGAAAUGUGGCACCUUCGGGUGUGUUAUAGUCUUUGGUCAUAUACUGCGAUUGGGACUGAGGUUCGCAGCACGCGCAAGCUGUGCUUAGGAUGCUGGCGUAAUGGCUUUAAACGACCCGUCUUGAAACACGGACCAAGGAGUCUAACAAACCUGCGAGUAUUUGGGUGGUAAACCCGAGUGCGUAAUGAAAGUAAAAGUUGGGAUCCCUGUCGUGGGGAGCACCGACGCCCGGACCAGACCUUCUGUGACGGAUCUGCGGUAGAGCAUGUUUGUUGGGACCCGAAAGAUGGUGAACUAUGCCUGAAUAGGGUGAAGCCAGAGGAAACUCUGGUGGAGGCUCGUAGCGAUUCUGACGUGCAAAUCGAUCGUCAAAUUUGGGUAUA
rnacentral:rRNA from 1 species